UAGUUCUGGUAGCUCAUAGACUAAAAUUAGAACUAUACAAAGAUUAGCAUGGCCCCUGUGUGAGGGUGACAUGUAAAAAAGACUUUGCUACUUUGG
ensembl:snRNA U6 U6 spliceosomal RNA